UACAGAGGGUGCGAGCGUUAAUCGGAAUUACUGGGCGUAAAGCGUGCGCAGACGGUCAUGUAAGUCGGGUGUGAAAGCCCCGGGCUCAACCUGGGAAUUGCAUUCGAGACUGCAUGGCUAGGGUGCGGAAGAGGGAAGCGGAAUUUCCCGGUGUAGCGGUGAAAUGCGUAGAUAUCGGAAGGAACACCAGUGGCGAAAGCGGCUUCCUGGUCCAGCACCGACGUUCAGGCACGAAAGCGUGGGGAACAAACAGG
rnacentral:rRNA from 1 species